rfam:Rhodotorula graminis WP1 unplaced genomic scaffold RHOBAscaffold_18, whole genome shotgun sequence.
GGUGUUUUGGCCGAGCGGUCUAAGGCGCUAGCUUAAGGUCACACGUUGAUCCGCUAGUCCGAAAGGGCGUGAGUUCGAAUCUCACAGACAUCA